rnacentral:rRNA from 1 species
GAUGAACGCUGGCGGCGUGCCUAAUACAUGCAAGUCGAACGAGGUGCUUUUGUAGCAAUACGAGAGUAUCCUAGUGGCGAACGGGUGAGUAACGCGUGGAUGACCUGCCCCAAAGUGUGGGAUAACAGUCCGAAAGGAUUGCUAAUACCUCAUGUGGUUAUCGGUUUUAGAAAGCGAUAACUAAAGCAGCAAUGCGCUUUGGGAGGGAUCUGCGUCUCAUCAGCUAGUUGGUGAGGUAACGGCUCACCAAGGCGACGACGGGUAGGGGACCUGAGAGGGUGGCCCCCCANAAUGGAACUGAAACACGGUCCAUACACCUACGGGUGGCAGCGGUAGGGAAUAUUGCUCAAUGGGCGAAGGCCUGAAGCAGCAACGCCGCGUGUGCGAUGAAGGCCUUGGUCGUAAGCACUUUCUAAGAGAUGAGAAAGGACAGUAUCUUAGGAAUAAGUCUCGGCUAACCACGUGCCAGCAGCCGCGGUAA